rnacentral:rRNA from 1 species
UCGGACAAAGAUUACCACUUAGUGGCAGACGGGUGAGUAACACGUGGGUAAUCUACCUCAGGGACUGGGACAACAGUUGGAAACGACUGCUAAUACCGGAUGAUUCAUAUUUACAAAAGUAAAUAUGCUAAAAGGGGCUUCGGCCUCACCUUGAGAUGAGCUUGCGGUGUAUUAGCUAGUUGGUGGGGUAAUGGCCUACCAAGGCAACGAUGCAUAUCCGAGCUGAGAGGCUGAUCGGACACAUUGGGACUGAGACACGGCCCAGACUCC